CUCCCUCGGGCGGGCGGGGAACGGGAAUGGGACGCAAGCGCCCGCCUCUCUCGCUGCCCCUCCCCAGCAAAUCCAGCGUCCUGCACUGGGCCAAACCGAGCCGCAAGCCCCGCUGCUGCAGCGCCAGCUGAGUGACAUGCACCGCGCCCGCGUGUCCGGGCCUCCCUCUCCUCCCUUGCGAGCCGCGAUGUGAUGCAAGCAGAACAGGGCACACGAACAUAUUUCACAACCUGCCUGCCAUGGAGGCAGAGCGGGCGUGGGGCUGCUGCUCCCGGGCACAGGCUCUGCACCGUUCUCCCUCGCAAUGGCUGAGAUCACCGUGAAUGUGAAGAAGAUGGACUAUCCAGGUCCAGCUGGAGGGCUGAGCCUCUUAAGAGUGGAAGUGGAGUGGGAAAAAUACCUGGCCAUCCCCGCAGAGUGAGGGGGUGCUGGGCCCUGCCCCACAGACAACAUGGGGAAGGAACUCUGCGUUUUGCUAUAGGCAAGCAAGACAUGGACACUAAGGACAUUAGGAGGCUUUCUAAUUUCACUUGGCUGGAAGACUGAGCCACUGAAGAUUUGCCUAAUGAGGCUGACAACCGAGAGGGAGUGUCAGGAGAAAAAAAGACUGCAGCACCAGACCCACCCAGCAGGAGGCACUCACAAAAAACUGAACGUCAUGUCUACCAAAUCAAAAUGCUACAGGCACUUGCUGAGUAUUAGCUAUACCUUUCACAUGACUAGCAAAUAGGUAAUCCCCUGAAUUUACAGCAUAACUGGAGUGAUAGCCAAUAUCACCAAAAGAAAGAAAACUUGAGUUUGUGGGAUAUGUGGGCUGGAUGAGCAGAAGAAGGUUGCUGAAGCUAGUUUUUAGGGACUGAGGCCAGGAGCCAGCAGCAGAGUGUUCCCACAACAAGUGUGGUUUGAUAAUGUGGCUGACUGGAUGGGAUGUGGCAUGGCGCACAACUCAAGGCUGUGCAAAGAUUGCGAGAUAUGGAGGAAGACUGCUGGACAAUGACUCCCAUGUGUUGUGGUUACUGUUCAUGGUGCUGUGACCUUAUGGUGCUUUGCACUAAGAGAAUAACACCAGUAAAAAGUGGUCAAAUAAAGACUAUGACUGGUCAAGUGUGUCUGAUGACUGUUGGGAAAGUUGUUGACUGGGUUUUCAGUAUACAGUCUGUGUCACCAUUGCAAAUGAGUGGCUCAUACUUCUCACAAGAUUCCUUUCUCUACCAGAGAGUCUAGUUUUGUAUGUAGACUCAUCACCCCAGAUUUUAAAGUCAGAAAGAUAGAAAUCAGAGCUGUGAUCCAUCAAGGCUGGUACCGUCUUCAACAGUGGCUUGUACCCAGUGCUUCAGAGUAAAAUCCAUUCUAGACAAUUAUAGAAUAGUCUGCCCAAAGGAGAAAUUUCUUCCUAAACCUCAGGGGUAGCCAUGUUAGUCUGGAUCUGUAAAAGCAGAGGA